rnacentral:piRNA from 1 species
UCCUCACUUCCCUUGUUUGUGGUCUGAGA